GGUGUGAUGGCCGAGCGGUCUAAGGCGCUGGAAUUAGGCUCCAGUCCGUAACAGGGCGGGGGUUCAAAUCCCUCUCACACCA